GUUGAUACCCUUUGUAGAAAACGGGGACAUACUGCCAUUUCACAUUGGUAUAAUACGACAAGGGCAUGGUGCGACGAACUUCUCUUACUGGUACAAUUCUACAGACAUUUAUCAGAUAGAGUGGGAAGAGUCGUUCGAACCGUACGUUGUGGUUGAUAAAUAUGCCCCCCGAUAUGACGAAAGGUUUCACGGUUACGGAUACGAUAAAGUAUCGCAUGUAAUGGAAUUAUACGCCCGA